AGUUGCUCAUUCACCUCCUUAUGUCAGCCAAUUGCGCUACAUAAAACAUCGAAUGACGCCAGAAGUAAGGUGCCUAUCGUCCAGCUUAACCGAUAACAGUCGCGCAAGCGCUUUAUCAAACAUCGGGCGACACGUUGAGUGAGGCACCGCCUU
rnacentral:sRNA from 1 species